AGCGAACGCUGGCGGCAGGCCUAACACAUGCAAGUCGAUCGAAGUCUUCGGACUUAGUGGCGGACGGGUGAGUAACACGUGGGAACGUACCUUUUGGUUCGGAACAACUCAGGGAAACUUGAGCUAAUACCGGAUGAGUCCUUAGGGGGAAAGAUUUAUCGCCGAAAGAGCGGCCCGCGUUAGAUUAGCUAGUUGGUGAGGUAAAGGCUCACCAAGGCUACGAUCUAUAGCUGGUCUGAGAGGAUGAUCAGCCACACUGGGACUGAGACACGGCCCAGACUCUUACGGGAGGCAGCAGUGGGGAAUCUUGCGCAAUGGGCGAAAGCCUGACGCAGCCAUGCCGCGUGAAUGAUGAAGGUCUUAGGAUUGUAAAAUUCUUUUACCAGGGACGAUAAUGACGGUACCUGGAGAAAAAGCCCCGGCUAACUUCGUGCCAGCCGCCGCAGUAAAAC
rnacentral:rRNA from 1 species